UACAGAGGUCUCGAGCGUUGUUCGGAUUCAUUGGGCGUAAAGGGCGCGUAGGCGGCGGGGUAAGUCUGGUGUGAAAUCUCGGAGCUCAACUCCGAAAUUGCACUGGAUACUGCUCUGCUAGAGGGCUGGAGAGGAGAUCGGAAUUCACGGUGUAGCAGUGAAAUGCGUAGAGAUCGGGAGGAACACCAGUGGCGAAAGCGGGUCUCUGGACAGUUCCUGACGCUGAGGCACGAAGGUCAGGGGAGCAAACGGG
rnacentral:rRNA from 1 species